GACGAACGCUGGCGGCGUGCCUAAUACAUGCAAGUAGAACGCUGAAGAGAGGAGCUUGCUCUUCUUGGAUGAGUUGCGAACGGGUGAGUAACGCGUAGGUAACCUGCCUUGUAGCGGGGGAUAACUAUUGGAAACGAUAGCUAAUACCGCAUAACAAUGGAUGACACAUGUCAUUUAUUUGAAAGGGGCAAUUGCUCCACUACAAGAUGGACCUGCGUUGUAUUAGCUAGUAGGUGAGGUAACGGCUCACCUAGGCGACGAUACGUAGCCGACCUGAGAGGGUGAUCGGCCACACUGGGACUGAGACACGGCCCAGACUCCUACGGGAGGCAGCAGUAGGGAAUCUUCGGCAAUGGGGGCAACCCUGACCGAGCAACGCCGCGUGAGUGAAGAAGGUUUUCGGAUCAUAAAGCUCUGUUGUAAGUCAAGAACGAGUGUGAGAGUGGAAAGUUCACACUGUGACGGUAGCUUACCAGAAAGGGACGGCUAACUACGUGCCAGCAGCCGCGGUAAUACGUAGGUCCCGAGCGUUGUCCGGAUUUAUUGGGCGUAAAGCGAGCGCAGGCGGUUUGAUAAGUCUGAAGUUAAAGGCUGUGGCUCAACCAUAGUUCGCUUUGGAAACUGUCAAACUUGAGUGCAGAAGGGGAGAGUGGAAUUCCAUGUGUAGCGGUGAAAUGCGUAGAUAUAUGGAGGAACACCGGUGGCGAAAGCGGCUCUCUGGUCUGUAACUGACGCUGAGGCUCGAAAGCGUGGGGAGCGAACAGG
rnacentral:rRNA from 1 species